rnacentral:lncRNA from 1 species
UUCACUAACUUCCAACUUCCCAACACAAAGCGGCCACCUGCGAUAUGGGAAAACAUCCACUUGGUUGCGUCUUAAUGUUCUCUGUCCUUGCCUCCCUCGGCCUUGUCUCCUUCGCCGCAUGUCUGGUUGCUGAGGCAAAGAGAUCCAAGGUAUGUAUAUAAAUUAAUUCAUUCCUUGCUAUUAUUAGUUGAUAAGGGUUUUUAAUUGGUUUAAUUCUCCAGAAGGUUGAUUUGAAGUUGGAUGGAAAGAUGUGUUUCUUGCCUGGAAAGAGUGAUGCCUUUGAACUGGGUGUGGCUGCAUCAGUCUCUCUCUGCACCGCUCAAAUCAUAGGGAACGUACUACUCUGUGCAAGUUACUGGUGGAGUGCAAACACAAGAAAGCCUAAAAAACCAACUCUUACUGCA